rnacentral:rRNA from 1 species
GACGAACGCUGGCGGCGUGCUUAACACAUGCAAGUCGAACGGAAAGGCUCCUGCUUGCCGGGGUACUCGAGUGGCGAACGGGUGAGUAACACGUGGGUGAUCUGCCUUGUACUCUGGGAUAAGCUUGGGAAACUGGGUCUAAUACCGGAUAAUAACUGCCUUUAGUGUGGUGGUUGGAAAGUUUUUUCGGUGCAAGAUGAGCUCGCGGCCUAUCAGCUUGUUGGUGGGGUAAUGGCCUACCAAGGCGUCGACGGGUAGCCGGCCUGAGAGGGUGUACGGCCACAUUGGGACUGAGAUACGGCCCAGACUCCUACGGGAGGCAGCAGUGGGGAAUAUUGCACAAUGGGCGGAAGCCUGAUGCAGCGACGCCGCGUGGGGGAUGACGGCCUUCGGGUUGUAAACUCCUUUCGACAGGGACGAAGCUUUUUGUGACGGUACCUGUAUAAGAAGCACCGGCUAACUACGUG